rnacentral:rRNA from 1 species
UUUCCGGUUGAUCCUGCCGCCGGCCACCGCUAUCAAGUUCCGACUAAGCCAUGCGAGUCAAGGUAUCGUAAGAUGCCGGCAAACUGCUCAGUAACACGUGGAUAAUCUAACCUUGAGUAAGGGAUAACCUCGGGAAACUGAGGAUAAUACCUUAUAAUUGCUUAAAACUGGAAUGUUUAAGCAAUAAAAGUUCCGACGCUCAAGGAUGAGUCUGCGACCUAUCAGGUAGUAGGUGGUGUAAUGGACCACCUAGCCUCAGACGGGUACGGGCCCUGGGAGGGGUAGCCCGGAGAUGGACUCUGAGACAUAAGUCCAGGCCCUACGGGGCGCAGCAGGCGCGAACACUGUGCAAUGCGCGAAAGCGCGACACGGGGAGCUUGAGUGUCUUGGCAUAGCCAAGACUUUUCUCAUUCCUAAAAAGCAUGAGGAAUAAGUGCUGGGUAAGACGGGUGCCAGCCGCCGCGGUAACACCCGCAGCACAAGUGGUGGUCACUUUUAUUGAGCCUAAAGCGUUCGUAGCCGGUUUUGUAAAUCUUCAGAUAAAGACUGAAGCUUAACUCCAGAAAGUCUGAAGAGACUGCAAGACUUGAGAUCGGGUGAGGUUAAACGUACUUUCGGGGUAGGGGUAAAAUCCUGUAAUCCUGGAAGGACGACCAGUGGCGAAAGCGUUUAACUAGAACGAAUCUGACGGUAAGGAACGAAGGCUAGGGUAGCAAACCGGAUUAGAUACCCGGGUAGUCCUAGCUGUAAACAUUGCCCAUUUGAUGUUGCUUUCCCGUUGAGGGAAGGCAGUGUCGGAGCGAAGGUGUUAAAUGGGCCGCUUGGGAAGUAUGGUCGCAAGACUGAAACUUAAAGGAAUUGGCGGGGGAGCACCGCAACGGGAGGAAUGUGCGGUUUAAUUGGAUUCAACGCCGGA